rnacentral:rRNA from 1 species
GAUGAACGCUGGCGGCGUGCCUAAUACAUGCAAGUCGAGCGAACGGACGAGAAGCUUGCUUCUCUGAUGUUAGCGGCGGACGGGUGAGUAACACGUGGAUAACCUACCUAUAAGACUGGGAUAACUUCGGGAAACCGGAGCUAAUACCGGAUAAUAUUUUGAACCGCAUGGUUCAAAAGUGAAAGACGGUCUUGCUGUCACUUAUAGAUGGAUCCGCGCUGCAUUAGCUAGUUGGUAAGGUAACGGCUUACCAAGGCAACGAUGCAUAGCCGACCUGAGAGGGGGAUCGGCCACACGGAAAGUGAGACAGGGCCCAAAUCCCUAGGGGGGGCAGAAGUGGGAAAUUUUCGGAAAGGGGGGAAAGCCUAAGGGAGCAACGCGGGGGGAGUGAGGAAGGUUUUCGGUUCGUAAAACUUUUUUAUUGGGGAAAAAAAAAUGUGUAAGUAACUGUGCAACUUUGGAGGGUACCAAAAAAAAAAGCCAGGGCUAACUACGG